UUCAGUUUUAACUCUUCACCAAUAGUGGAAAAGGCAGAAUGCCUAAGCUAUGGCUCUGUGGCCAAUAGGAUGGCUGUGUGUCUCUCACAUGACUGCCUGCCCCUGCCUUUCGCAUGGGCUCUAAUUUAGUUCAAUUCAGAACUGCAGAUAGUACGGUUUCCACAGGAGCAGGGAUGCCUGAGCACAAGUAGCUGAGUUCCGAGGGACUUUAGGAAAUGCUUCCCUGGCUUCCUGGGCGUGCAAACAGGAGUCUGCACCUGCACUCCAGUCAGGCUGGGGAGAAGCCCCUGCUCUGCCUGCAGGGACGAGGAACUACAGCAAGAAGCAGCAGUGGGGAAUUGUGCAACAUUUGUGCAAGUGCUCGGCCAUUAUUGGGUGCUCUGAGCAAACUUCCAGACCUGAAAGAACAGACUAUGUUGAACAUUCAAACACUGCAAGGUGGUUGUGAUGGGUACAUUUUUCAAGGCUCUGUAAAGUUAGAGCCACUUCCUUUGUAA
rnacentral:lncRNA from 1 species